AGCCACGGCCGUGCUGCUUUAGGAGCGGGAAGGUAGGAGCUGCUUUGCAGGGUGGGUGUGUGUCGGUGAAGAUGUAAACAUUUAGGGGUGAAUGAUGCAUUUUCAAGUAGUUUGAGGACUAGUUUGAUUCAAAUAAGUUGGAGAUUUCAGAGAUUUAUUUAUCUUUCAGCGUGCAGUCAAGUAAGUCAAGUUUGAAUGUAGCGGGUGCUCUUUGAGUGAAUUGCACGUGCGAAUUAGAAGAAUAUGUUGAAGUUAGACUUUGACUUGAGUCGUGAUUGGGCUGCUGACUCAACUACCCACCCUCUAAUGGGGGCUCUGAAGCCCAAUAUCUCUUCUAAUGGAUACAGGUUGGAGGGCAAAUUACUGGUAAGGAAGAGCUUGGAAAUUUGGCAAAUCAAGGGGUCGAGAAUCCUUUAUUGCAUAUCAUUGUUAAAGUUUUGGAAAUUUCACUCGACUUUAAAUUUUAUUUAUGUAUAUAUAAUUUGAUUUCUUCCAUUGAAAGGUGCGAUAUCCACACCUUGGUUCCAUCGUACAUUACCAAAUUACUAUGCAAGAAAUGAGGAAGAAUCUAACAACUAUGCUUAGUAUUUAUCUGCGCAAUCUCCUUCAAGAAUUAAACUCAAAAGUUUAAUCUCUGGCCAGUAGAUACAGAGAGUCCCUCUCUCAUGUUAAUUAAAACUGAGUAGCGCAUGAACUUCUUACAUGGGGCGUGUUUUCAAGAUUAUUUCCCCAGUUUUAAACAAAUUCUAUUAAACACUAUGAAUUUUUUUCAUAGUAUUUACCAACUUUCAUAGAUUUAUAAAACAUAGGAUAGAAUUUCCAUACUUGAGAAAUUUAAUCUUUGUUAUAUAUGUAAAGGUAUGGAUGGUUGAUAUUUUGAUAUAUGUUGGAUUGCCACUUUUGGCAUAAGCAAAAAAUAGAUAAACAAGAAGACUGAAGUACAGACCACUGCCUGUAUUGGUACUUGCAUGUGCAAAGACCAAAGUGAACAAGAGCUCAAAAACCUCCAAGCAUUACAAAGUCUGAGUAGCUUUGGAAGCGGAACAGUUUUCAGUGUAAAUGCUGGCGGCGGCGGAGUUGUGUAAGCCUACCUUUGUCUUUUACUUCAUUCCCUCUCUUCAUGUCUUUUUCUUGUGUCUUCCCAUUUUGUUUGGAUUUACAAUGCAGCUUAUAUAUUCCAAGAAUCCAAGUCUUUCCAUGCGUUUCCUAAAUAUCCUUUGUGGGUUCAUGCAAAGGAGCCGCCUGUUUGAGCUUACACUGCAGCUUAUCUACAUUAAUCUGCUUGGUGGGAGUUGAAGCAGGACAACUAAAAUGGAGAAUACAUCUACUGCUUUUGAAGCUAUCAACAACGAACUGUUGAUUUGGCACGUACUUAUUAUUGAUCAUGUUGUUAUAUUUAUUCUACCUGCUGCAGAGUUAUUCUCAUAAUUAUACUAAAGAUUUGAUCCCCAAUAAGAAAAAACCCAAAUGCUG